rnacentral:rRNA from 1 species
CACCAAAAUGCACAGGCUGUGAACUCGAAGAGUAGGGCGGGACACGUGGUAUCCUGUCUGAAUAUGGGGGGACCAUCCUCCAAGGCUAAAUACUCCUGACUGACCGAUAGUGAACCAGUACCGUGAGGGAAAGGCGAAAAGAACCCCGGCGAGGGGAGUGAAAAAGAACCUGAAACCGUGUACGUACAAGCAGUGGGAGCACCUUCGGGUGUGACUGCGUACCUUUUGUAUAAUGGGUCAGCGACUUAUAUUCUGUAGCAAGGUUAACCGUAUAGGGGAGCCGCAGGGAAACCGAGUCUUAACUGGGCGUUAAGUUGCAGGGUAUAGACCCGAAACCCGGUGAUCUAGCCAUGGGCAGGUUGAAGGUUGGGUAACACUAACUGGAGGACCGAACCGACUAAUGUUGAAAAAUUAGCGGAUGACUUGUGGCUGGGGGUGAAAGGCCAAUCAAACCGGGAGAUAGCUGGUUCUCCCCGAAAGCUAUUUAGGUAGCGCCUCGUGAACUCAUCUUCGGGGGUAGAGCACUGUUUCGGCUAGGGGGUCAUCCCGACUUACCAACCCGAUGCAAACUACGAAUACCGAAGAAUGUUAUCACGGGAGACACACGGCGGGUGCUAACGUCCGUCGUGAAGAGGGAAACAACCCAGACCGCCAGCUAAGGUCCCAAAGUCAUGGUUAAGUGGGAAACGAUGUGGGAAGGCACAGACAGCCAGGAUGUUGGCUUAGAAGCAGCCAUCAUUUAAAGAAAGCGUAAUAGCUCACUGGUCGAGUCGGCCUGCGCGGAAGAUGUAACGGGGCUAAACCAUGCACCGAAGCUGCGGCAGCGACACUAUGUGUUGUUGGGUAGGGGAGCGUUCUGUAAGCCUGCGAAGGUGACCUGUGAGGGUUGCUGGAGGUAUCAGAAGUGCGAAUGCUGACAUAAGUAACGAUAAAGCGGGUGAAAAGCCCGCUCGCCGGAAGACCAAGGGUUCCUGUCCAACGUUAAUCGGGGCAGGGUGAGUCGACCCCUAAGGCGAGGCCGAAAGGCGUAGUCGAUGGGAAACAGGUUAAUAUUCCUGUACUUGGUGUUACUGCGAAGGGGGGACGGAGAAGGCUAUGUUAGCCGGGCGACGGUUGUC